AACAUCGCGCACCUGCGGGAACCUGCGGAAGGAUCAUUACCGAGCCGUGAGGGUCACCUGGAAACAGGCUUGACCUUUCACCUGGCCACCCUUGUUUAUCUUAACCUGUUGCUUUGGUGGGCCCGCCUUUCGGGGCUGCCGGGGGCGCUACUGCCCCUGACUUGUGCCAGCCAGGAGCCUACCUUAAAUUCUGUGUUUAACUGUGCUGUCUGAGUCCCAAUAACAAAAUAUACGAAACUU
rnacentral:misc_RNA from 1 species